UACGGAGGGUGCGAGCGUUGUCCGGAAUCACUGGGCGUAAAGGGCGCGUAGGCGGCCUUCUAAGUCGAACGUGAAAUCCCCGGGCUCAACCCGGGAACUGCGUCCAAUACUGGAAGGCUUGAAUCCGGGAGAGGGAUGCGGAAUUCCGGGUGUAGCGGUGAAAUGCGUAGAUAUCUGGAGGAACACCGGUGGCGAAGGCGGCAUCCUGGACCGGCAUUGACGCUGAGGCGCGAAAGCCAGGGGAGCAAACGGG
rnacentral:rRNA from 1 species